rnacentral:rRNA from 1 species
AUUGAACGCUGGCGGCAUGCCUUACACAUGCAAGUCGAACGGUAACAGGUUAAGCUGACGAGUGGCGAACGGGUGAGUAAUGUAUCGGAACGCGCCCAGUCGCGGGGGAUAACUGCUCGAAAGAGCAGCUAAUACCGCAUACGACCUGAGGGUGAAAGCGGGGGAUCGCAAGACCUCGCGCCAUUGGAGCGGCCGAUAUCAGAUUAGGUAGUUGGUGAGUUAAAGGCUCACCAAGCCGACGAUCUGUAGCUGGUCUGAGAGGACGACCAGCCACACUGGGACUGAGACACGGCCCAGACUCCUACGGGAGGCAGCAGUGGGGAAUUUUGGACAAUGGGCGCAAGCCUGAUCCAGCCAUGCCGCGUGCGGGAAGAAGGCCUUCGGGUUGUAAACCGCUUUUGUCAGGGAAGAAAAGGUUCUGGCUAAUACCUGGGACUCAUGACGGUACCUGAAGAAUAAGCACCGGCUAACUACGUGCCAGCAGCCGCAGUAAGAC